GUCAAUAUGAAGUUCCUACCAGAAAGAGGAAGUGUAACCUGUUUAAAGAAUCCAUAUACUAAAGCGACAGUCCAAAGAGUGUUUUUAAGCUGAUGGCGAAUUCCUCGGGUUAAAAACUCAUUCCAUACAAACAUUGUGUCGUAAAGUGUGAGCCCAGAUUGACGAUUACUCAAAUUCUUUUGAAGGCUUAUCAUAAUAUGAUAGGAGUAGCUGAAAAAGAAGUCUCUUGUAAGAU
rnacentral:misc_RNA from 1 species